rnacentral:rRNA from 1 species
GACAGAGGGGGCAAGCGUUGCUCGGAAUUACUGGGCGUAAAGCGCACGUAGGCGGCUUUCUAAGUCGGGGGUGAAAUCCUGGAGCUCAACUCCAGAACUGCCUUUGAUACUGGCAAUCUUGAGUCCGGAAGAGGUGGAGUGGAACUCCUAGUGUAGAGGUGGAAUUCGUAGAUAUUAGGAAGAACACCAGUGGCGAAGGCGGCUCACUGGUCCGGUACUGACGCUGAGGUGCGGAAAGCGUGGGGA